rnacentral:rRNA from 1 species
UACUAGAGUAGCACUCGCAUAUCAAUAAGCGGAGGAAAAGAAACUAACAAGGAUUCCCCUAGUAACGGCGAGUGAAGCGGGAAGAGCUCAAAUUUGAAAUCUUAAAGGGUUUCCCUUUACGAAUUGUAGUUUAAAGAAGUGUUUUCUGUUGAGGUUUUGGUAAAAGUUCUUUGGAAUAGGACAUCAUAGAGGGUGAGAAUCCCGUAUUUGACCUUUACUUUCAACUUUGUGAUACACUUUCAAAGAGGUCGGAUUGUUUGGGAACUGCAGUCCAAAAUGGGUGGUAAAUUUCAUCUAAAGCUAAAUAUUGGCGAGAGACCGAUAGCGAACAAGUACCGUGAGGGAAAGAUGAAAAGAACUUUGAAAAGAGAGUUAAACAGUACGUGAAAUUGUCAAAAGGGAAGCGUUUGACACCAGUGUUGUUUUUCUGAAAAUCAAUUAAAGAACUGUUUAUGCUAAGCUGUUUAGACUUUAUCAGCUAAUCUGUUUAGUUUUGAGCUUUUCUUUAAUGCACUUUUCAGUUAACAAGUCAACAUCAAUUUCUUUUGCUGUAAAAAAGCUAGAGGAAGGUGGCUUGAGAUUCGUCUUAAGUGUUUAUAGCCUCUUGCCUAUGCAGUCGGAGAGAUUGAGGUCUGCAGCGUAGAUCCUUCGGGGCUAAAUGCAUUUGUGCUAAGUUAUAGCAUUUUAUAGACAACUUGUUGACUAUGAUUUGUCUUGUAGCUUACUCGCUUAUGUUAUUUUACCUACGCUUAGGAUGUUGAGCGCAUGUCUCUCUCU